CGAGGUGGUUUCCUUCCAAUUGAAGCAGGACCAGUACGUCUGCCAGCUCCAGAUAGAGCUCCCGUGACCAGGAAGACCUCAGCAUUCGCCAAUUCCUGCUGAAUUACCGCAAACAGAAAGAACUGACAGAGGGCAUUGGAAUAGAGGAUGAUUAUAACACUGAAGACCGAGAGGUCCUUCCCCUUGAGUGUAAGGAUGUGUAAGAUAUUGAUAGUCCUGAUGUGAAAGCAGAGCUUCCCUCCCACCUCAGCAUCACUAAGGAUGUUAUGGAGCGCUGCAUUCAUCUGCUGUCUGAUCCCAGCCUCAGGCUCCGACUCAAGGUAGUUUUAUGUAGAGUCAACUGUUGGACUAGUAACAAAAAUAAUCAUUCUUGUGAGGGUAGGACCGCCAGCGUUGGUACAAUUCAUCCUGUCAGAACUGUGUGGAUGACUGUUCACUGGUGUAAUGCUCAUCAAGGAAAAGCAUUCAGUCUGGUCCAGGAGUGAAACAGAAAUAAGUCUGUGCUGAAGUCGUGCCUGCUCAGGAGUUUGGGCUCUCAAUGAAGACCUCGAUAAUUAGUUUCAGCUCACAUAUAAUCAGGAUCAAAACAGAGAUAAUUGUUAGGUGUGUUGUGCGUCUUUGUCUCUAGGUACGGACGUGCUGGAGUUGUGCCUUCAGGUGCUGAGUGAGAGGGAAAAUGAACUGCUGCCUAUGGCUCAUCGCUGCUGGCCAGCACUCCUGCAGACACUCACAGCCGAUGACCCAUUAGCAGUCCUCAGAGCCUUCAGGGGCUGCCGUGCAGGUCACCUACAGCUCCACCAGUCACACGUCUGUACGAUCAGGGGAGCCCACUGGAGACAAGUCCACAGGAAGCAUGUGGAAGAUGAUUCUGGUGCUGCUGCCUUUAGCUGUGUUAUCAGCUGUGUGCUACUACGCCUACGCCUACAUCGUGUGAUGAACAGUGGAAGGAUUGUUCCAUCGAUGUCACAUCGAGAUUCUUUUUUUGUGCUUCACCACUUUUUACUUGGACUCUGCUACAGUAGCUUCACAUUCUGCUGUCCAACUUUAAAGCCAAAGCUUCUAGUGACCAGCCAGUUUUGA
rnacentral:lncRNA from 1 species